GACGAACGCUGGCGGCGUGCUUAACACAUGCAAGUCGAACGGAAAGGCCCUGCUUUUGUGGGGUGCUCGAGUGGCGAACGGGUGAGUAACACGUGAGUAACCUGCCCUUGACUUUGGGAUAACUUCAGGAAACUGGGGCUAAUACCGGAUAGGAGCUCCUGCUGCAUGGUGGGGGUUGGAAAGUUUCGGCGGUUGGGGAUGGACUCGCGGCUUAUCAGCUUGUUGGUGGGGUAGUGGCUUACCAAGGCUUUGACGGGUAGCCGGCCUGAGAGGGUGACCGGCCAAAUUGGACCUGAGAUCCGGCCCAGCCUCUUCCGGGAGGCAGAAGUGGGGAAUAUUGCACAAUGGCCGGAAGCUUGAUGCAGCACCCCCGCGUGCGGAUGACGGCCUUCGGGUUGUAAACCGCUUUCGCCUGUGACGAAGCGUGAGUGACGGUAAUGGGUAAAGAAGCACCGGCUAACUACGUG
rnacentral:rRNA from 1 species